AGCUCACUUGAGCUUCCAGCUCAGGUGAGCUAAAAAUCCGUUCAAUAAAUAUAUUAAACUUUACUGCUUUGGGGAAAGUAUAUUGAUAUAUUGGUAAGAAAGUAAUUUUCUAAAGAAUCAGCAGCUCACAUUUUGAUUACUUUGAUAUGAUAGGAAUUAGUCAAUAUAUAUUUUGGGUAUGGAUCCAAAAUACACAUCUUUAUGAAGUUGAAUGAACAUGUUUGCUCAAUUUUUACACAAGUAGUGCAUCACAUAACAUAUUAAAGCUUUCUAAUCCGACUCUUUUAUUUUUAGGAACUGGGACACGUUCUAAAUAUACUCAGGGACAGAAUGAUGUGCAGCAAGGCUCGUCAUGGAUUUUACCAAAUACAGAACACUGCAAGGCUUGCAAAAUGAAGACCUCAGUAAAAAAAUUUCUAAAUUAUCCACUAAUGGCAGCUCACUACCUGCCCCUUGUGAUGUUAAAAGAGGCCGUUGUUCUCAUUUGUUCCAAAACAGGAAUGGCAUAUGAGGAGGCCAACAGAAGAUGCACCUCCACUGACCUCCACUGAGUGUGCACUCACAAAACGAAUAAAUUAUUAUUAUUUCUUUUGUUUGUAAUUGUAUAUUGUCAACAAGGUCAAAGGCACUUGAUCCGAUGCCAAACUUUUGCAUUUCUUUUGCUUUGUGGUAAAUUUUCUUCAGCAACAUUAACAUUGUUUAAAUUGUUUUCUUUGGAGAGUUUACAUGUACACAUGGAUCAUUUGUAUAUUAGAAUUAUAGCAUUGUUUAAUUCAACUCAUUCUUAUCAUAGAGAGGUUAUUAUAUACUGCAGGCAACGACUUGUAAAGGGUAUACUGUUUUAACUCACAUGCAAGGCAGUAUUAUGAAACUCUGUAGUUGAUAAGGACAUAUAUCACAUAUCGAUAUGCAUAUUUACAGGAAACUCUGAUGUAUUUUAAAUCUGAACGUUAAUUUAAAAGUGGGGAGAAAUAGCAUUGGAUGAAAAAAGACACAUAUGAAGAAAAUUAUUCCAUACGUAAAUACUUUUUAGCUCACCUGAGCUGAAAGCUCAAGUGAGCUUUUCUGAUCGCCUGUUGUUCAUUGUCUAUCCGUGAUUAAACAUUUUAUAUUUUCUCCAGAAGCACUGGGCCAAUAAUAACCAAACUUAGCCAAAAGUAUCCUUGGGUAAAGGGCUUUCGAGUUUGUUCAAAUGAAGGGCCAUGCCCUCUUCAAAGGGGAGAUGACCACAAAAAUAGGGUGGGUCAUUUAAUUUUUUUUAUCAAGAACCAUUGGGCCAGAAGAGCUGAAAUGUACAUGAAAGCUUCCUGACAUAGUACAGAUUCAAGUUUAUUGAAAUCAUGGCCUCCAGGGGUUGUAUGGGGCCACAAUAGAGAAUCAAAGUUUUACAUACAAUUAUUCAGGAAAACUCUUUCAAUAUGAGCCAAGGUGGCUCAGGUGAGCGAUGUGGCCCAUGGGCCUCUUGUUCAACAUAUAGAAUAAAUAGUUAUGUUGUAUUUCCCAUGGAACAUUGAAACGUUUAAUGCGUUUACCAAUUAAUCACUGAAAGAAAGAUAAAAUUGUUGUUUCAUAUGUUUUAUGAAAACUUAAAGAUGUUUCAUUUCUUUUCAUGAAAGACCCCUUAAUUACCCAGUAAUAUAUAAUCAAUUCUUAACAGAUUAUGUAAAUUUGAUUUAUAUUAAGGAUGUUUGAUCUGAUUACCCAUCAUUAUCAAUCUGUCUAAUAUGGCCAUCAUGUGUUACUAUUGCUACGCAAUCUUGGAGCAUGAGGUAGAAUGCGACCUAGCUCUUUCAUAAGUACAUCCAUCUGGAAAAUAUUUCAAUGUCAAAGGUUACAACAAUGUGAUAAUUUAAUCAUUGUAUGUCUAAGGUGUUGAUAAUAAAACUGUUAUCUGUUCAA